GUCGCGGUGGCUGAGUGGUAAAGCGCUUGGCUUCCAAACCGGGGAAUCCCGGGUUCGAAUUCUGGUGAAGACU
rnacentral:tRNA from 1 species